UACGGAGGGUGCAAGCGUUAUCCGGAUUCACUGGGUUUAAAGGGUGCGUAGGUGGGUCUGUAAGUCAGUGGUGAAAUCUCCGAGCUUAACUUGGAAACUGCCAUUGAUACUAUCAGUCUUGAAUACUGUGGAGGUCAGCGGAAUAUGUCAUGUAGCGGUGAAAUGCUUAGAUAUGACAUAGAACACCAAUUGCGAAGGCAGCUGGCUACACAAAUAUUGACACUGAGGCACGAAAGCGUGGGGAUCAAACAGG
rnacentral:rRNA from 1 species